GACGAACGCUGGCGGCAUGCCUAAUACAUGCAAGUCGAGCGGAGUUGAUGGAAAGCUUGCUUUCCUGAUACUUAGCGGCGGACGGGUGAGUAACACGUAGGCAACCUGCCCUCAAGCUUGGGACAACUACCGGAAACGGUAGCUAAUACCGAAUACUUGUUUUCUUCGCCUGAAGAGAACUGGAAAGACGGAGCAAUCUGUCACUUGGGGAUGGGCCUGCGGCGCAUUAGCUAGUUGGUGAGGUAACGGCUCACCAAGGCGACGAUGCGUAGCCGACCUGAGAGGGUGAUCGGCCACACUGGGACUGAGACACGGCCCAGACUCCUACGGGAGGCAGCAGUAGGGAAUCUUCCGCAAUGGGCGAAAGCCUGACGGAGCAAUGCCGCGUGAGUGAUGAAGGUUUUCGGAUCGUAAAGCUCUGUUGCCAGGGAAGAACGCUUGGGAGAGUAACUGCUCCCAAGGUGACGGUACCUGGGAAGAAAGCCCCGGCUAACUACGUGCCAGCAGCCGCAGUAA
rnacentral:rRNA from 1 species